rnacentral:lncRNA from 1 species
GGUGAGUUUCUUUUCCACCCUAUCUCCGCUAUGGAAAAAGUAGCUGCCCCUUUACCUGUGCCAAUUCUCCUAUUGUUGCUAGGACAUUAUUGAUCACACCUGGGUUUGGAUCAGGGUCUGGAUCUUUCAGUUUCAAAAUUAAUGCCUAGAGAAAGAAGUUAUGAGAAAAUGAAUGCAGAUUAGACUCUACUAGAAACCUUUCUUUUAGCUUUAUGAAUCCAAGAUUUCUCUGGAAUGUAAAUUCUCAAACUUUUCUCCAUAUGAAGUCUAAGUCUGACAUGUGAGAGAGCUGGGAAGCACCAUAAUGUGAAAGUAUUUCAUUCUUCCAAUCCCACUGUGCUCCAACUCUGUCAAAAUCUGUAGGGAAGAAAGGCUCAUAUGUUCUCUAUGGCAGAAGACAUUCUAGAGAGAGACUGUGUCCA